CUCUUUUUUUGUUGAUCCUUAUUGCAUAACUAAUAAAGUUGAUCGCCAAUAGCACUACAACAAAAAUGGCCUUUAGCGACAAUUAUUUAAUAGCAAUAAGUUAUUAGUUUUCUGAUCUCAAAUAUUAGCGGCAUAUGUAGAUUAGCCAGGAGAAGUUGCAUCUUUACCGGCAAUAAAGAAAACGACCACUAAAGAUUAUACAACUUACCGGGAAGUAAAUUUUAUUAUUUCAUUUUUCCAUCAUUAUUAUCCUCUUCCGUAAAAAAGUGCCAAAGCGAAUUCCAACACCCAAAUCCAAGGAAAAACCCUAAUCAUCCUCAAGGCCCAACUUGUUUCUCUCUCUGAUCUUGCUAUCCUCUCUCGCUAGACCUCUUUUGAAACAGUCAAUUUCUAUUGUCAUAGUUCCAUCAGCCCUCCCCUUCCCGCUCGCACAAUCAUCAUCGAGGUGCAAGAGCCAGAGAUGGUAAAGCUGCCUGUUCAGGAUACUAUAGUCAAGAUUUAAUAACAUAAAUCCCGGAGACUUCACUGUGCAAGUUAAGGUCAUACGGUACAAUGUUCGAUAAUUUGACAUGUCAGAAGAUUUUAUUAUGCUCAAGAGCUGAAGAAACUUUUAUUCAAUGUUCGUUGUAUAGUAUUAUAGUUGUUGAUAACACCAACUAUUAGGUGCAAGAUGACAUUAAUUAUUAGAUUCAAUAUUCUUUUUUGUGUUUUGACAUUUUGAAAUUAUGGAUUAGUAUUUGUAUUUGUUUGUUGUGAAUUCAAGUGUACCAAGCUUUUUAAAUUGAAUAUUAUUAUUAUUUU